rnacentral:snRNA from 1 species
UUUCAUAUCCACUGGUUUAUCAG